GUGGCGAACGGGUGAGUAACACGUGAGUAACCUGCCCUUAACUCUGGGAUAAGCCUGGGAAACUGGGUCUAAUACCGGAUAUGACUCCUCAUCGCAUGGUGGGGGGUGGAAAGCUUUUUUGUGGUUUUGGAUGGACUCGCGGCCUAUCAGCUUGUUGGUGAGGUAAUGGCUCACCAAGGCGACGACGGGUAGCCGGCCUGAGAGGGUGACCGGCCACACUGGGACUGAGACACGGCCCAGACUCCUACGGGAGGCAGCAGUGGGGAAUAUUGCACAAUGGGCGAAAGCCUGAUGCAGCGACGCCGCGUGAGGGAUGACGGCCUUCGGGUUGUAAACCUCUUUCAGUAGGGAAGAAGCGAAAGUGACGGUACCUGCAGAAGAAGCGCCGGCUAACUACGUGCCAGCAGCCGCGGUAAUACGUAGGGCGCAAGCGUUAUCCGGAAUUAUUGGGCGUAAAGAGCUCGUAGGCGGUUUGUCGCGUCUGCCGUGAAAGUCCGGGGCUCAACUCCGGAUCUGCGGUGGGUACGGGCAGACUAGAGUGAUGUAGGGGAGACUGGAAUUCCUGGUGUAGCGGUGAAAU
rnacentral:rRNA from 1 species